CGGGAUCCGCAGAUCCUGCCGCAGCCACUGCAGAUGAACUCUUCGCGGUGUGGUUGAGAUGUCAAUGGUUUCCGCUGUCUGCGGUGUCUCUUCUCUCCCCAGCGGGUGUCUCUUCUCUCCUCUGCUUUUCUGAUGACAUCCUUGCUGGUGGUCCGCCAAUCAGAGCGUUCGGACGUGGCUGACUCCAGGUCAGAAGGGUUGAAGCCUCCAGCUUUAAGGUCACGCUUGCAGACAUCCUUGAACCUGAGAGCUGGGUGUGACACAUAUUUAGGAAAAGUCAAAGAAUUAGAGGACAGGGGA